GGGAUUUCUUCACGGUUUGAAUUGAAAAAAAAAUUGUGUGUCUGUUUAUGGUAUUAUGAAUUACAAAAUGGAACUAGCAAUAUUGAACUGCAGGAUAAUCAGGAUUUUUCAUGGAAACAACUAGAAAUUUAGAUUUGAAUUGAAUGUGGAAGCACUGGAAUAUGUGGUAUAAUAACCAUUGAACUAUAAAUAAACUGGAAGGCUAACUGCUAUGAUGAAGGCCUAUGAUUUGAUGAAGCCAAAAUAGUUUUUCUGAGUUAUGAGCAGAAAUACUUGACCCCAAACGUCGGGCAAUAUAUCAAAUUGAAGCUAUCAAAAAUUGCUAUUCGGUGUGGAAAUUUCAAGACUUCAGCGAAAAGAAAAAUCUUUAAAAAAUACAAAAACAACUGCAAAACGGCAAAUUAUCGGUAAUUAUGUUUGUAGUUUUUUAAUAUUCCCCUUUUAGCUAAAGUCUUGAAAUUUCUACACCAAAUAGCGUUUUUCAAUAGCUUCAAUUUGAUAUAUAGCCCAACGUUCAGUGUUGAGUAUUUCUGCUCAUAACUCAGAAAAACUAAAAUGCACUGGCUUCAAUCCUCCCCCCACCUGAGUUAGCCUUCCAGUUUAUUUAUAGUUCAAUGUUCAGUCUAUAGACUCAUUGCACUGACGUCGCAAAUUCUUAGAGUGUCCUCCAGAUGCUACCUAACAAUAUCUGUUCGGGUACAACAACCACAUACAACAGCGCAAAAAUUUACCGUUUUUAAUACAAAAUUAUUGUAAUUAUUAUUCAAAAUUUGCUUUGUUUACAGAAGUAUAUAUUAUGCAUGCAUAGAUUGCUAAUUUGUCCUCCAGAUGCAUCAUCACCGGCGCUGUGACGUCAUGUGCAAUGGGUCUAUACGCAAAGUGAAGCCAAGAUAGCGUAAUGGACCUUUCCCCUUAUAACUAAAAUUUCGAUCUAGACAAAAAUUUCAUCACAACUUGAAAGAGCAUCACAAAAUUAGUAAUAUUCCAAAGUUUCGUUGCGAAAUGUUGUAAAAUGCGGAUAAUAUAGCCUUGCGAAGUUUGCCGUUUUUCAGUCAUUUUGUAUUACGCAUGGGAAAUUGACAGCCCAAUCGGGUGUUGGGGCAUCAAUUUCCCGUUUGUAAUACAAAAUGACUGAAAAUUGCAAAUUUCGCAGGGCUAUAUUAUCCGCAUUUUACAACAUUUCGCAACGAAACUUCGGAAUAUUACUAAUUUUGUGAUGCUCUUUCAAGCUGUGAUGAAAUUUUUGUCUAGAUCAAAAUUUUAGUUAUAAGGGGAAAGGUCCAUUGUUGCCUCGUCGUCUUUUCGGUUUUUUUCCCGUAUAUUUUUGUUAUUUCUUUUUUCCGUUUAUCUGCAUUUUUUAUAUGUUAUAUAUAUUAUAUCGGUGAUAAGGUAGCUCAAUAGUUUAUAAGCUUUGCUUCGUUUUGGGCUUCCUUGCCAUUCAUUUGUACUUAUAAUUUGUGAAAUUUUUUUAUAUGGCAAAAUAAAUUGUUAAUUGUUUUUUUAAAUAUGUCUGCAGGUCAUGUUGACUUGGGCUGGGAUAACCGGCAACAUAUCAAAAUUAUUGCCGGAAACUAUGCCAACUGAAAUACAUACGUGAUUCAUCACUCAUAAUGGCAUAUUCAUCACUCAUAAGAAUGGCAUAUACUACUUUAAAUUCCCAGGAGCAUAAAAUCUUGUGCUUAACAACAGCUUGAUUUCUAAAGGUGCCGCCAGUUUUUUUAUACACCCUGUAUUGCAGAUUUUCCUAGAAACCAUAAUCGAAUACUUUGAAUUGACAUUCUUGCCGAGUGAGAUGCAUCGUCAUAACUGCCAUGAAAUUAUUAGCACAUUUUGCCAGUUUGAUACUUGAAAACCAAUCAUGUUACGAGUUGUAAAUAUAGAUA